GUUCCUACGGGGGGCAGCAGUGGGGAAUAUUGCACAAUGGGGGAAACCCUGAUGCAGCGACGCCGCGUGAGUGAAGAAGUAUUUCGGUAUGUAAAGCUCUAUCAGCAGGAACGAGACAAGACGGUACCUGACUAAGAAGCCCCGGCUAACUACGUGCCAGCAGCCGCGGUAAUACGUAGGGAGCAAGCGUUAUCCGGAUUUAUUGGGUGUAAAGGGUGCGUAGACGGGCUAACAAGUUAGUUGUGAAAUCCCUCGGCUCAACUGAGGAACUGCAACUAAAACUAUUAGUCUUGCGUGCGGGAGAG
rnacentral:rRNA from 1 species